rnacentral:rRNA from 1 species
UACGAAGGGUGCAAGCGUUAAUCGGAAUUACUGGGCGUAAAGCGUGCGUAGGCGGUGAGUUAAGUCUGUCGUGAAAUCCCCGGGCUUAACCUGGGAAUGGCAUUUGGGACUGCAAGGCUGGAGUGCGGCAGAGGAGACUGGAAUUCCUGGUGUAGCAGUGAAAUGCGUAGAUAUCAGGAGGAAUACCGAUGGCGAAGGCAGGUCUCUGGGCUGACACUGACGCUCAUGCACGAAAGCGUGGGGAGCAAACAGG